rnacentral:rRNA from 1 species
CCUACGGGAGGCAGCAGUGGGGAAUAUUGCACAAUGGGGGGAACCCUGAUGCAGCGACGCCGCGUGAGUGAAGAAGUAUUUCGGUAUGUAAAGCUCUAUCAGCAGGGAAGAAAAUGACGGUACCUGACUAAGAAGCCCCGGCUAACUACGUGCCAGCAGCCGCGGUAAUACGUAGGGGGCAAGCGUUAUCCGGAUUUACUGGGUGGAAAGGGAGGGUAGACGGUUAUGCAAGUCUGAAGUGAAAGCCAAAGGCUCAACCAUGGGACUGCUUUGGAAACUGUAAAACUGGAGUGCAGGAGAGGUAAGCGGAAUUCCUAGUGUAGCGGUGAAAUGCGUAGAUAUUAGGAGGAUCACCAGUGGCGAAGGCGGCUUACUGGACUGUAACUGACGUUGAGGCUCGAAGGCGUGGGGAGCAAACAGGAUUAGAUACCCGAGUAGUC